GAACUUCAAAAAUCUUGGCCCAGAAAUUGACCAUUGCAGCCCUGCAACAUAUAAGACAGAUUGCACAAGAAUCUAGCGGAGAAAUUCAGUAUGGUGGGGGAAGCCAGCCUACUGUGUUGAGGACAUUUAGCCAGAGACUAUGCCGGGGGUUCAAUGAUGCUGUUAAUGGGUUUGUGGAGGAUGGUUGGUCACUGCUGGGCAAUGAUGGGGUAGAAGAUGUGACUAUAGCUAUAAACUCAUCUCCCAACAAAUUUUUGGGGUCCCAGUACAAUUCAUCAAUGUUCCCAGC